GGGCUUCGCAGGCGGUUUCUUAAGUCUGAUGUGAAAGCCCCCGGCUCAACCGGGGAGGGUCAUUGGAAACUGGGAAACUUGAGUGCAGAAGAGGAGAGUGGAAUUCCACGUGUAGCGGUGAAAUGCGUAGAGAUGUGGAGGAACACCAGUGGCGAAGGCGACUCUCUGGUCUGUAACUGACGCUGAGGAGCGAAAGCGUGGGGAGCGAACAGGAUUAGAUACCCUGGUAGUCCACGCCGUAAACGAUGAGUGCUAAGUGUUAGGGGGUUUCCGCCCCUUAGUGCUGCAGCUAACGCAUUAAGCACUCCGCCUGGGGAGUACGGUCGCAAGACUGAAACUCAAAGGAAUUGACGGGGGCCCGCACAAGCGGUGGAGCAUGUGGUUUAAUUCGAAGCAACGCGAAGAACCUUACCAGGUCUUGACAUCCUCUGACAACCCUAGAGAUAGGGCUUUCCCUUCGGGGACAGAGUGACAGGUGGUGCAUGGUUGUCGUCAGCUCGUGUCGUGAGAUGUUGGGUUAAGUCCCGCAACGAGCGCAACCCUUGAUCUUAGUUGCCAGCAUUCAGUUGGGCACUCUAAGGUGACUGCCGGUGACAAACC
rnacentral:rRNA from 1 species